UCUCACAGCUGGUGAUGGCGGAUGCUGUCGAAAUAGAGACCAUGAAGAAUUAUAACAUAGCGUUUGAGAAGAUAGACCCGAGCAUUAGCCGCUAUCCCUACUGUAUUGUAUGGACGCCAAUCCCCGUGUUAUCAUGGCUCUUUCCUUUCAUCGGCCACAUGGGCAUCUGCACCUCCACUGGAGUGAUCCGUGAUUUUGCAGGUCCAUACUUUGUCUCAGAGGAUAACAUGGCAUUUGGAAGACCGACAAAGUACUGGAUGUUAGACGUCAGUAAAGUGUAUGCCAGUGGAUCUAACGCGUGGGACACAGCAGUUCACAACGCAUCAGAAGAGUACAAACAGAGAAUGCACAACCUCUGUUGUGACAACUGUCACUCGCAUGUUGCGAUGGCACUGAACCUGAUGCGCUAUGAUAACAGCACCUCGUGGAAUAUGGUGAACCUCUGUCUGCUCUCGCUCAUUCAUGGCAAACACGUCAGACUACUGGUUGCUGUCUGAGCACAAUGCAUGUGCAUUGGCCCCAGGAGACUGAGAGGGACUCACACAAGGAUAGGCUGUCAUGGCGUCUCUCAGUUGCGUAGGUUUCCUGAAGACCUGGCUUCCUUUCUGCAUCUUGACCAGUGUGAUCCUGGCUGUGACUCUGUCUCUAAACCUGCGAUGACCCAGCAAGGUCACGCACAGGUGAACGGGCUCGCCGCCCAUCGGAGACCCAUCAGUCCAGCUCCAGCGGGACUCCAGUGAAUGUCAACUUGAAGUCCAGCUCUUCAGAGCCUAGAGGAGCUCAACAUCAAAAAUCAAAUGCUAGACCUCUUUGUCGUAGGGUAGGGACAGCAAAUACACCAUGGCUUCAACGUCUUGUGGUGAUGUACGAAACGCUUUUCUCAAAACCUGUCUUCCAAAGGCAUGACUUUGGUGUCUCCUGAGGGUUAUGGUGCUCUUUUAUCGUUUGGUUAGACUUUGAUCUCCAAACUAUAACUGCUGUUUAGGAAAUAUAACACUAUAACGUAUAUAUAGUCUUAUAUUUUAAAUAUAACUUGAAUAUGAAUUUCUAAUGAUGCUAUGUUCUUUCCGAGAACAUAGUUUAUUGCAGAAACAAUGCAUUGUAUAUUAAGAUAUUCUGGAAGAUGGAUUUCCUUUUAAAAUUCUUACUAUGAAUACGAAAGCUUAUUUAAAUUAACACUUUUAAUAUUUAAUUUCAUUUAGGAGUACCCUUUUAGUCGUUUUAUUGGCAAGGCUAACCAUCAACAUAAAUAUUGUAGCUUGGCAUGCUUUAAAGUGUAAUUGUUUUUAUACAAAAAUCUAAUUACAUAUGGAGAAUUAGCAUUCAAAAAUUGCUAGUUAAUGAAUAAGCUAAUCUUGUUUGCAUUAUGUAUUGAAAAGCAUUCUUUGCACUGCCUGGCCAGCUGUUAUUAUAUUGCGUAAUUUAAUGUUAUUGCAUUAAUUUACUAUUAUUAUAUUGCAUAAACCAUUAUGAAAUUGCAUUCUCAAGUUGACGCAUUUAAAAGUGUAAAAUGUAGGCUAGGACUUGAUUUUAUCCAUUGGGAAUUGAUUGAAUCAGAAAAAAGCAUGCAUUCCAUUGCAGAAGAGACCAGACAUGAAUGCGAAGCCUUGAAAUUUAAGUGGCCUUGGUGAAUUUAGCUGAAAAGGACAGUUCAUUUGUUUGUUCAUUUGAGGAAAGGUUAUGAAGACAGACAUUUAGUCUAACAUGCACUAAUAAAUCCUACACAGUAAGACCAGGAAUGAAGGAAAGUAAAUGAUGCCUUUAAUAUAUCUUUGUUGUCCUGAAGAACACUUGAUUCACAUUGCAGGGGUUAUGGAUGUUCUGUUUGAAAGCUUUACUCUUUCAAUCAUGAACUGUUAAAUGACACAUUUAAUGCUUCCAUUGUUUGUUUUCACAAGAAAUAUCAAAGGUAUUUUGUUAUGUUGACUAUUGACUUGGUAUAAUGGCACAAUAUGCCUAGUCUAACAAUCAUAUCACUUAUAAAAAAUAAAAAAAAUGAUAACAUGAUUUAUGUUUCGUAUAAGGUCCAGGGUUUGGAUAAUGCUCAUCAAAAUGAAGAAGGAACACUGAAAUCUGUCAAGCACACAUCCAGGUCAUAAUUUCACCCCAAAAUCAAAAUGAAAAAUGGUAGAAUUGUUUUGUUUAAAGAAAAUGAAGCCUGUUUUAUAAUCUUUUGCAUGUGAAAUUAUUUUAUGUCAAUUAAGCACAUUUCCUACUGUAUGAAAAUAUUAUUUAGUUAUUAAUUAAUUAUAUUAAUAUAUUAUUACAUUAACUGUAUUUAUACAUCAUUGUACUAUUUGUAGUACUGCUUUAUUUUUAAUGCAGUAUUUUUAUUGUAACAACAGUAAAAACUGUUUUAAAAAAAGUCAUGCAAAACAGGCUUUGUUUUGUUAUUUUAAUGCAAAAUAUAUUUUUAUUUCCUUCUGAUUUGGGGUGUAAAUGUGGCCUGUUUUUGUGAGAUUCUGAAUUGCUUAAUUAGUGUAUAAUUAGGAAGAAAAUUAAACAUGGGGUCAAAAUGGGCUCUCAAAAAUAUUACAGUAUUUUUAUUGUAAUAAAAGUAAAACUUGUAUCAAACUAAUGAAAGUAAAAUGAAUGUUUUCAUUAUCAUGCAAAUUUUAAUUAUCCUAAUCCCAAGUUGUAUUUUAUUUUAUUUUUAUACAGAAUAUAUUUUUGUUUGCUACUAAUUUUGGCUGUAAGUGUUUCACUCGUACAUAUGAAUGGAUCUGUUUGUUGUAUAAUCGGAAAGAAAAACAGUGGGUGAAAUCUAUCCUUUAUUACUAUAAUCCAGAGCACAGAAAUCCUGUUUGCUUUUCUCAACUGUAUUCAUGAACUGAGCACUUCAAACACUGAUCGAAUCCUGCCGUAAUCCUAGACUAUGAUCUGGACACCAAACCCGUUUCCAUGACUCCUGCGUGAUUAAAUCCCCUCUUUGUUUCACGUCAAAGAGAAAAAUCACUGAACUCCCCUCUUACCUAUUGCUCUCUUCUCACAUUUUUCCUUUUCAUUCCUCUUUUCACACUCUCUCUGUCUUUGGAAGUAUUGCCAAGAGCAGCAGGUAGUCGAGUGUGUUUUGCGUCGGUGGAGUGUCUUCAGAUGGGCCGGUGUGUGUGUGUGUGUGAGAGGAGUCUGGCCCCUGCUGGCCCCGGCUAGAGCUGAUCACAUUAGAGAACCUGUGUGAAGUGUGACGUUAUUACUGACGGCUUUCCUGUCUUCAAAGACGUGAACUACUGGAUCAGAAGCACAUUUGGCUGUUUAGGUCGUCACAGCGGCCCAGCGGUUCCAAUUUCCUCUCUGUAAUCUCUAAAAGUGCAUGGCAUUCCACUGCUUUAUGCUUUUAGAGAACAUUCAUUCAUUCUUUCUGUGGUUACAAUAUGUUAAAUGUUAACAUUCACAUGCCACCUUCCAAAAAUAGUGUGCAAAAUGAGGCCUGAAAAAAAAUUGUUUAUAUGUGUAUAUAUAUAUAUAUAUAUAUAUUUUUUUUUUUUAAAUAAGUUUGUUUCUUUGUUUGCAAAUUAAUAACAUUUUAAAUUAAGUUAAAUUAAAAUAUUAUAAUUUGUAACAGGCUUGCAAAUUUGGCUAGCCAAUUCUCAAUUCAUAGAAAAUUAAUAUAGUUUCAUUGUUGUUAUUUUUUAUUGGAGUUUUCUAUAUUUUGAGUAUUUCUUAUAAAAUCCUGGAAAUAAAACUAACAGGGUUGCAAAUUGAGUUUGACAAAUGUAGUGAACACUAAAUUAUUUGUAAACAUUAAGGAAAUGGAAUUAAAUUAUUUUAUUUUUAUUUUUUUAUGUUUUAAAAUUAAUUUUAUUUUUGCCACCAUGUUAACGAUUUUCUUUUUUUUUUCUUUUUUUCUUUUGAGUAUUUCUCAUAAAAAUAUAAACAAAUUCAUAACUAACAGAGUUGAAGUUUGAUGAAUGUAGUCAACACUAAAUUAUUUGUAAAAAUUGAGGACAUGAAGUGAAUUUACUAGUUUUCUAAAUUACUUUUGGUCAGUUGAAAGUAACAUCUCACUUUUUGGAAUGGAGAAAUCGUGAUAACAGGGUUGUGUCUAAGACAUCACAAAAAAAAAAAUUUUUUUCAUGUUCAUUAAGUUAAAAACCAAAGUUUUUUCAUGUAAAGUUAUAUUUUUGUUAGAGAAUACUUUUCACUACUAAAUUGAAUUUGUGCUUUUAAAAAGCACUGAGACCCCAUCGGCUACCCUAUGGAAAGUGACACUUCAUUGAUUGAUUGCUUUUUGCCAUUAGAACGGUUUUAUUAACAGAUUACAUAUUUCAGUUUCUGUCUGUUUGCUAAUUCAAAACUUGCCUGUGCGUAAAAAUGAGCUGCAAAUGUUUUCUUUACAUGCACUGCUAAUCUUGUCAUUACAUGAACUUUGCACAACUACAAACAAGUAGACUUUUAAUAAUGAUGAAAUUGUCACCUCAUACCUCCUGCAGAUGCAUUAGUGUGUGUGUGUGUGUGUGUGUUUAUUCGCAUGUUGUGUUCUGUAAGCCUGUGCGCAUGUGUCUGAUACUCAAAGUCUGAUACUGAUGGUUGGCAUUCAAAAGUUGUUUGUUCUGGGUUUUACUGCUAAUAAUCAAGUGCAUAUUUUAAUAUGAGGUUAUUAAAGUCUUUGUAAUGAUAUAUUUUGCCUUGUGGAGAACCGGCCGCAUGUAUUCGGUGCGUGUGGUAAUGCCUGCUUGACUAGAUGCUUUGUUUACAAUGGCUGCUGAGUGUUGGAUAAAUAUGAGUAGCAGAAUGCUUUUUGUUAUUGAUUUUACCCUAAGUUCAAGCAUUCUGUCGAGCAUAUGGACAACUAGAAACAGGGUGAAAACACUUAAAGCCUUUUUUACUCCAAAUAAGUGACCAUGUAGUUUUAUAUUCAUUAGGCAAUAAGCUUCUACACUAAACUGUAAUACAUGAAUGUAAUGAACGAUGACUGUGUGCUUUAUCUGAUUUCAUUUUAGAAAUUGGUAUUGGUCUUUCACUGUCUUUUCCAUUCUUUUCUCCCAAGAAGCCAGUAAUGGUGUUUUUAAAAUUGAGCUAUUGAGUUUGCACAAUGUAUUUCCUCAUAGCCUGCAUCCACAGCAAGGACUCCAGGGAAAAAGCCCAUAUCCUGUCAUCAGAAACUAAUGGAAACAUGUAAUCAUCUUCCUAAUUAAUUUACAUUCCCCAAUGUUGCAUAAUUAUCAUCAAAUUUCAAACACAUUCUGCCAACAAUAUAAUUUAUGAUAUUUAAUGUUCAUGCAUUCUUGA